rnacentral:rRNA from 1 species
UACGGGGGGGAGCAAGCGUUGUUCGGAUUUACUGGGCGUAAAGGGCGCGUAGGCGGUCAGCACAAGUCAGUUGUGAAAUCUCCGGGCUUAACUCGGAAAGGUCAACUGAUACUGUGCGACUAGAGUGCAGAAGGGGCAACUGGAAUUCUCGGUGUAGCGGUGAAAUGCGUAGAUAUCGGGGAGGAACACCUGUGGCGAAGGCGGCCCCCUGGUUGGAUACUGACGCUGAGACGCGAAAGCGUGGGGAGCAAACAGGGAUUAGAUACCCGGG